GAAAAAAUAAACAUUCUGGCGCACACAAACUACCCAGCGUCGGAUUACUUUCGAUUUCUAGAAAGUGUUUUACUCAAUUAUUUUAAUCAAUGGUGAGCUCACCCAUGAUGUGAUUGAUUAUACAUAGUAAUUGCUAUUAGCUAAUAUAUAUUGUAGGUCCGUCAGCCAUGAGUUUGGGCGGCAGGUAGUCUAGUGGUUAGAGCGUUGGGCCAGUAACCGAAAGGUUGCUAGAUUGAAUCCCUGAGCUGACAGGUAAAGCAUCUGUUGUUCUGCCCCUGAACAAGUCUGCUGUUCUUCUCACUGGGAAGGCCUGAUGGAGAUGUGUGGAACAGAUCAGGAUUUUAGCUAUAAGCAAACUGCAGAAAUCCUGAACUCUACAUAUUUGGAUUUUUAAGGGUGUGAUGGAUGGCGCAGGCUAGACAUGCUGUUCAUUCCUGCUCAACACAGGCAGGAAAAGAGGGAGGAAGACCCCCCGCCCACCACCCCCAUGGUUCUUGGUCUGACUCUGUCCUCAUCACAUCCCCCUCCCCUCCUGCUGCCAAUUAUGCAUGCUGGGAAGAUCCUUUGGGCCAACAGCCUUUCCUCAUCAACCUUCCUUCUUCUUGUUUGUUCUUUUUAGUAUUGUAGGAGAAACAUGGUUACUUUUUCAUACAGCAAUUAUUAAGGUACCAUGUUUUUAGGUAUUAUUCUGUUGUUCUGUCCAUGUUCUGGUUUCACAGAGUUAACCUAACAUGUAUCAUCUGUUUCUUGAGCUUGAUACUACUAGAGAUUGGCUGGUCCAUGGACCAUUGCUGAUCAAAUACAUGAUUAUCUGCUGGCUAGUUUGAAGCUUGAGAUAAUGAAUCACCUGAUAGUCUGAUAUCCACCUGAUAUAACCUUACAACACUUGUGGUCAAUGAUGCUCAGAUGGGUUGCUUGAAGUGACUGUCCUAUCUCUAAUAUUCUCCAAUCAAUCAUUUCACUGUAGUCAGUAAUAAACAUCCAGCCCAUGUCACAUCGGAUGAAAUUAAAUCUGACCUGUGAUGUGACCUGUGACCUUUGACAAAUAAUGGACAGGAACAGUAAUCUACUGGGACUUCAAAAUACACCUCAGUGCCUGCCAAAAGAUUUG
rnacentral:lncRNA from 1 species